rnacentral:rRNA from 1 species
GACGAACGCUGGCGGCGUGCUUAACACAUGCAAGUCGAGCGGUAAGGCCCUUUCGGGGGUACACGAGCGGCGAACGGGUGAGUAACACGUGGGUGACCUGCCCUCAGCUCUGGGAUAAGCCUGGGAAACCGGGUCUAAUACCGGAUAUGACUCCAUGACGCAUGUUGUGGGGUGGAAAGCCUUGUGCGGCUGAGGAUGGGCCCGCGGCCUAUCAGCUUGUUGGUGGGGUGAUGGCCUACCAAGGCGACGACGGGUANCGGCCUGAGAGGGCGACGGCACACUGGGACUGAGACACGGCCCAGACUCCUACGGGAGGUAGCAGUGGGGAAUCUUGCGCAA